rnacentral:rRNA from 1 species
UACGUAGGGGGCAAGCGUUGUCCGGAAUUAUUGGGCGUAAAGAGCUCGUAGGCGGCCGGUUGCGUCUGCUGUGAAAUCCCGGGGCUUAACCCCGGGCGUGCAGUGGAUACGGGCCGGCUGGAGGCAGGCAGGGGAGAAUGGAAUUCCCGGUGUAGCGGUGAAAUGCGCAGAUAUCGGGAGGAACACCGGUGGCGAAGGCGGUUCUCUGGGCCUGUACUGACGCUGAGGAGCGAAAGCGUGGGGAGCGAACAGG